rnacentral:rRNA from 1 species
CGGAACCUUGUGCCCAACAGUCUGCCGUCCUUGGCGGGCGACGCUUGAUUGGUGCUGGGAGAAAACCCUCUUGCGGGGCCCAACCAGCAGCCGUUGUGCUCGCACAUCGGCCCACAGAUCAUCUUCAGGCGGUCUCCCCUCGCUCGAGGGAUUAAGAUAUGACCGGACCCACUCGGUAAUGGGUGGAGGCCUUGUUCCGUAGGUGAAUUGGUUUGCCUACCGCAUUCAUAGAAUGCGCGGUCUGCACUCAUAUUCCAGUGCAGGCGACAUCGUCGAAGUGCUGAGCGUCCCCGGCGAAAGCCUAGAACAAUCAGCAGCCAGUGCCCCUCGGCCUGGUUCACAGAUCAACCGACGACGACCCGUAGGGGUUGAGAUAUGAUCGGUCUUGGCCCGAAAUCGGCGCUGGAGGCGCGGAACCUGCGGAAGGAUCAUUA